AUUGAACGCUGGCGGCAGGCCUAACACAUGCAAGUCGAACGAGUGGCGGACGGGUGAGUAAUGUCUGGGAAACUGCCUGAUGGAGGGGGAUAACUACUGGAAACGGUAGCUAAUACCGCAUACCAUCGGAUGUGCCCAGAUGGGAUGAGCUAGUAGGUGUGGUAACGGCUCACCUAGGCGACGAUCCCUAGCUGGUCUGAGAGGAUGACCAGCCACACUGGAACUGGGACACGGUCCAGAAUCCUACGGGAGGCAGCAGUGGGGAAUAUUGCACAAUGGGCGAAAGCCUGAUGCAGCCAUGCCGCGUGUAUGAAGAAGGCAUUCGGUUUGUAAAAUACUUUCAGCGGGGAGGAGUUACCAGCAGAAGAAGCAACGGCUAACUACGUGCCAGCAGCCGCGGUAAUAC
rnacentral:rRNA from 1 species